UACAGAGGGGGCAAGCGUUGUUCGGAAUUACUGGGCGUAAAGGGCGCGUAGGCGGCCCGCUAAGUCGAACGUGAAAGCCCCGGGCUCAACCUGGGAACGGCGCGCGAGACGGGCGGGCUGGAGUUCGGGAGAGGAGCGUGGAAUUCCCAGUGUAGAGGUGAAAUGCGUAGAUAUCAGGAGGAACACCUGUGGUGUAGACAGCUUACUGGACCACGACUGACGCUGAGACACGAAAGCGUGGGUAGCAAACAGG
rnacentral:rRNA from 1 species